rnacentral:rRNA from 1 species
UACAGAGGUCUCAAGCGUUGUUCGGAUUCAUUGGGCGUAAAGGGUGCGUAGGCGGGCGCACAAGUCAGGGGUGAAAGCCCACGGCUCAACCGUGGAAGUGCCUUUGAUACUGUGUGUCUGGAGGGAGGUAGGGGCGUGCGGAACUUCCGGUGGAGCGGUGAAAUGCGUAGAUAUCGGAAGGAACACCGGUGGCGAAAGCGGCGCGCUGGACCUCUUCUGACGCUGAGGCGCGAAAGCCAGGGGAGCAAACGGG